CUACGAGGCAUCAGUAUAGUGACUUAGCAUUAAUAGAUUAAAUUGUCAUAUUGUUAAAUGUAGCUCUCUAUUCUAUUGGAUACGCAGAUACGCAGUCAAGUAGUUAUUUUGUGAACGAGGCAUACAGUUAGAUUUCAAGCAUUAGAUCAAAUUCUCAUGCUAUAGGUAGCUCUAUAUUUUAGUGGAUACGCGAAUGCGUGGCAGUAAUUAGUAGCAGUAAUAGAUUAAAUUGUCAUGCUAUAGAGAGCUUA